AAUCAACGCUGGCGGCGUGCCUAACACAUGCAAGUCGAACGCGAAAGCCCCUUCGGGGGCAAGUAGAGUGGCGUCCGGGUGAGUAACACGUGGGUAAUCUACCUCCGGGUGGGGAAUAACUCGCCGAAAGGCGGGCUAAUACCGCAUAAUGCAGCGGCACCGAAUGGUGAUUAGUUGUUAAAGCGGGGGACCUUAGGGCCUCGCGCCUGGAGAGGAGCCUGCGGCAGAUUAGCUUGUUGGUAGGGAAUGGCCUACCAAGGCUGCGAUCUGUAGCUGGUCUGAGAGGACGGCCAGCCACACUGGCACUGACACACGGGCCAGACUCCUACGGGAGGCAGCAGUGGGGAAUUUUGGGCAAUGGGCGAAAGCCUGACCCAGCAACGCCGCGUGAAGGAGGAAAUCCUUCGGGAUGUAAACUUCACAAGCAAGGGAAGAGCGCGCAGGGUCGAAUAAACUCUGCGUCCGACGGUACCUUGCGUAAGCCACGGCUAACUACGUGCCAGCAGCCGCC
rnacentral:rRNA from 1 species